GGAACCGUUGAUUCGCACAA
rnacentral:sRNA from 1 species